rnacentral:ncRNA from 1 species
CGCACUGGACGACCAGUGCCUUGCUCAUUCGGGGACGGCCCC